GUCUACGACCAUACCACCCUGAAUGUGUCCAGUCUCUUUUGAUCUCAGAACCUGAGCAGGGUCGGGCCUAGUUAGUAGUUGGGUGGAGAUU
rnacentral:rRNA from 1 species